rnacentral:rRNA from 1 species
GGCGAACGCUGGCGGCGUGCCUAAUACAUGCAAGUAGAACGCUGAAGAGAGGAGCUUGCUCUUCUUGGAUGAGUUGCGAACGGGUGAGUAACGCGUAGGUAACCUGCCUUGUAGCGGGGGAUAACUAUUGGAAACGAUAGCUAAUACCGCAUAACAAUGGAUGACACAUGUCAUUUAUUUGAAAGGGGCAAUUGCUCCACUACAAGAUGGACCUGCGUUGUAUUAGCUAGUAGGUGAGGUAAUGGCUCACCUAGGCGACGAUACAUAGCCGACCUGAGAGGGUGAUCGGCCACACUGGGACUGAGACACGGCCCAGACUCCUACGGGAGGCAGCAGUAGGGAAUCUUCGGCAAUGGGGGCAACCCUGACCGAGCAACGCCGCGUGAGUGAAGAAGGUUUUCGGACCGUAAAGUUCUGUUGUAAGUCAAGAACGGGUGUGAGAGUGGAAAGUUCACACUGUGACGGUAGCUUACCAGAAAGGGACGGCUAACUACGUG